CGGGCGGCCGUGACCCUGCUGGAGUGCGGGGGGGGCCUCCAGCCCCCCGGGGGGUCCCUGCGCCUCCUCUGCCGAGGGUCCGGGUUCACUUUCAGCAGUUUCACCAUCUACUGGGUGCGUCAGAGACCCGAGCAGGGGCCUGAGUGGCUCGCAGGUAUCAGCGGCAGUGGUUCCAACAUCUACUACGCGCCGUCAGUCAAGGGCCGGGUCAUGAUCUCCUGGGACAACGGGCAGAGCUCGGUGACGCUGACCAUGAACAACCUCAAGGACGAGGAUUCCGCCACCUAUUUCUGUGCCAAGGGUGCUGAUAGUGCUGAUAGUGGUUACCAUAAUCAGAGACCCAGGCAGGGGCUGGAAUUCGUGGCAGGGAUCAAGGACAACGGUGGCAGCAUCGCCUACGCGCCAUCACGAUCAUGA